rnacentral:rRNA from 1 species
GAUGAACGCUGGCGGCGUGCCUAAUACAUGCAAGUCGAGCGAACAGACGAGAGUGCUUGCACUCUCUGACGUUAGCGGCGGACGGGUGAGUAACACGUGGGUAACCUACCUAUAAGACUGGGAUAACUUCGGGAAACCGGAGCUAAUACCGGAUAAUAUUUAGCUUCGCAUGAAGCAAUAGUGAAAGACGGUUCUGCUGUCACUUAUAGAUGGACCCGCGGUGUAUUAGCUAGUUGGUGAGGUAACGGCUCACCAAGGCAACGAUACAUAGCCGACCUGAGAGGGUGAUCGGCCACACUGGGACUGAGACACGGCCCAGACUCCUACGGGAGGCAGCAGUAGGGAAUCUUCCGCAAAGGACGAAAGUCUGACGGAGCAAUGCCGCGUGAGUGAAGAAGGUGUUCGGAUCGUAAAACUCUGUUGUAAGGGAAGAACAAGUACGUUAGUAACUGAACGUACCUUGACGGUACCUUACCAGAAAGCCACGGCUAACUACGUG